rnacentral:sRNA from 1 species
GAAAAACCCAGGCUCAGCAGUUUCCCUGCUGUCUACUUCUCAGAAAUUGUUCCACACUCCCAGGGCUGUAUUCCAGGUUUUUAUUGUGCACUUUAAAUUGGGCUAUCUCUCAACAGUUGCAUUUAAUUGGGUGAUUAUUAAAAACCUCGAGCAAGUUCAGUCACUCUCACCCAGAAAAUGCCCUGGUGUCCAACUUGAAGGCUUGAAUGAGACCAACCUUCUCUCAGGUCCACUGUCCUGCUGGGAGCUGCACGGUAGGGGGGAGCAAAGAUAGGGCUGUGGGUGGAUGUGUCCUCUUGUGGAGUUUGGAAACCACCUAAUGACAGCCCCCACCCAUUACCUACUUCUAAUCACGAAUGGACUGAAAAGCUUAACCCUUAUCACUGCUGCAGCAGAAAGCCAUUUGUCAUAUAUAGAUAUGCUGUGGGCAAAAUGCACACAAUCACAAGGGUAUGAGAUACUCUGAGGUGGGGAUCUUGUUUCAGAGCCAUGCUGUGUAACAAAAGGUACUGUUCUAGAACAGCCGCAGGAGGGUUCCUGAGAGAACUGAAAGGAAACCUUGCUUCCUGACAGAUGUGGCUACAGUGUCAAAAUCGAGUCUCAGAAUGCCCUUGGGAGCACAUAGCACAGACAGUGACUGGAACAUCUGUGGAAUCCCGAAUCCUUGGUUUCCGAGUGAGUGUGCGAACAUCCCACUGACUAGUUCCCUGCAAGUGCUGACGUCAGGGGCUACCUUCCCUAGUCAACUUCCCAUUAAUCCUCCUGCAGUGAGGAAGGAAAACUAGCUUUAGCUUAUGUUUUCAGAGACUCCAGUCCACAGUCAGCUAACUCUGCUGCCCUCUGCCCUGGGCUGAGGCAUCAAAGCAGGACACAUGGUGCACAGCUCAUUGAUCAUCCCAUGGCAUCAGGGGAGGGCAUUUUGAAGUCACUUCAAACAGGUCGUAAACAUUUUCCCCAUGUCAGCCGGGAACUCACAGAACACCAUCACCCCUUCUGCUUCUUCUCCUUCACUGCGGUUUUCCUACGGAGACAUCUGUCUGAUGCCACUGUAGUCCUCAGACCAUUGCUUCUGGAGUCCACUUUGUCUCUAGAGUGGCUAGAAACCCCCGAAUCACAUUUCUAGAGUCAGCCCUAACCAGCCACUGCCAGGAAGGAUACCCAGGUCGUAUUGGAGGACGGAACGACCAGGAACUUGGCAUGGUAUGCCAGCCCGCUGUGAGUGUAUGCUUUCUGAGCAUGGAUAGCCCCAGUGACCCCUCUCACCUGCUGUAUCUCCUUUGGUGGGGUGGGCAGAAGCCCUCGUCUGGCCAUCUGUGGCAGUGUCUCUGCCGAGGCUGAUGCUCCACAGACCCCUGGAAUCUCCACAUUCACUGACGUCUUAGGUGUGUGUGGCCUGUACAGCUUGCCUUCGUCUGGCCCCAGCUGUUCUCUUUCUCCUCUCAUGGGAUACUCCCCACCCUCAAGAGCCAGCCUUGCUAGCUGUGUUUUCCUCAGGUCUUAGCUGAGCAUAAUCAUCCCCCAACACACUGAGUGGGACAGACAAGAGGCCCUCUUGUUACACCAGAGGAAGCUGACCACAUCAAAUCACAGACAAGGUAUGUAGCCAGAAGUCAGAGGUGCAAGGGACAGAGCUCCCCGUCAGCUACAACCACCAUUCCCUUCCUAGAGGUUUCCCAAAGGCAUUCGGUACCCCUGAACCUACAAGACAGUAUAUAUACCCCCAACCUACUGGUCCCAGGCGGGCUUCACAGAACCAAGGGUCCUUGCAGCCCUGCCCACAGUGCCUCACGAGGAAAUGUGGUACUUUCUCAAGCCAGUGAGGCAAAGGUCACUGCUAGGGAGUUAAAUCUAGGGGCAGCAUCCCAGAUUUAAAGAGCAAGCCAUAAGGAAGGCUGCUCUCCACUUCCUCUGUGUGUUACCUCAUCAAAGUGUGAUGUCUAGGGCAUCCCAGCCCACAGGCAAAGCCGCACCAUAUACCAGUGAACAGAGAAACAACUGCUCUCCUCAGGCCGCUGAGGAGCUGAAGCUGCCAGCCCCCGGGCUCUCUGGAGCGUUUCCAUAGCUCAUGGCUCCCAGCUGAACACAGCCAGUCAGAUCUACUCCCGUUUCUGCUGCACCCCCAUCUCUCCCCUCUGUGCUUGCUGUGCAGUAAGUGUGUAAUAUUUGUGAACGUGUAGUGUGUCGGUGUCCCCUGUAGCAGACCGGGCAAUGAGACUUAAUGUGUCAUAUGAAGGGAGUGUUCCAGGGGACACAAAUAAGGGAGCAGAUAUAGGACAAGGGUUGGUGAGGGACAGCACUGGAGCUGGGCUGUCCUCACCCCCACUCUUCAGUAUCAGGCCAUGGCGUUCUCCAGGGACACAGGCACCCAGGCCUUUCCUCAGAGCAGCGCAAGCGACACUGGUCAGACUGUGUUGAAGCAAUAGCAGGAAGCAGCGAGGACCUAGGUGGGGCGCCAGCACUGUGUCUGUCAGUACAACUGUCUGUCUGUCUCAGGACCACUUUCCCAUGGGUGAUACUACCCACAGUGGGAUGGACCCUCCAAUUCUCAGUCAAGAAAGUGCCCGGCAGCACAGUAUCCAACAGACAGCAAAGCCAGGGCUGCCUCCAGACCUGCUGUCCCUUUCACCAUCCUUCCUAGGACCAGAGGGGAUGCCGCCUGCUCAGGAUGGACUCUAUUGAAAUGUAAAAUACACACUUUGCAUAUCAAAAGCAUCAUUGUGUUUAGCUAUGCAUCUCCAGUUUCUUCUUGCAAAACAUUGAAACCUAGCUCAUAAUUUGAUGAUAAAAUAUUGAUUAUUUAUUGACAGCCACAUGCAGAGGUCCAUGGCACAUGAACGGGAGGCCCACCCUGCAUUAUCUGUAUUUUAAGUCAAUAUGAAGAUGGAUAUUCUACCCCUGAGAUGAAUUUUGUUAAAGUGCUUUUGUCAAUAAAAAGACACUCCUGUUAGAGUGUGCCAACUCCUGCUAUUGGCCUGGGGUCUGCUUCUCCACACACCAGGCGGCUCCAAGAGAGGCUUCCAACCUCCAGCAGCUCCUGGUCAGUCUGCAUAUUUCUUUAAGCCAUGUGAGUGAAAAAUAUCAAGGAAUGGUGAGUUGGCAUUCCAGGUGAGAGAGAAUGAAAAGAAAAGCGAACACAACUUAUAAACAAAUCUGGGAGAGCUUCAUCACCAUCCAUAGCAACUGCGUGUCUUCUGCUUCCAAGAUAGAAGAGCGGAAGUGUGGACCAUCUCUGAGCGUCUGCCCUGACUGCCUACCCAGCAGAGUCUCUAGGAAGAGUAUACCAAGAAAGGACAGCAGCCUGGACGCAGCUGGCAGGGAGCAACAAGCCCGGGAGUUUUCAGGUAAAGAAGCCACUUGUAACUAGCAGUGUCCUGAUUGGACUCAGACAUACAAACUUGAGGCCUGGGAAACUUGUGGUGGGGUUAGAAAGACACCCCCUCCCAUUGGCUAAUUCUGGGGCCCUGGGAAACCCUAGCCUUGGGGCAAAGUCUGGAGUCUGUCUAUACAGGGAACCUACAGCAGUGGCAGGUGAGAAGAAAAUUUCAAAUUUGCAAUUUUCAAGUGUCAGAAUGAUAUUGUUCCACUCAUCUGAUGCCUGGCCUGAGAAACAGGUCCUCCUGGUUUCCAUCAACACGUCUGCUGGGUGAGGGUGGCCUUUGCUCUCUCAACCAUCCAGACCCUGACUAAGAAUGCCCGCUCCAACACCGGCUACCAGAGUACCCCACCCCAUGCACCCAAGGACAAGACCUAAGGUCUGCACAGUACUUCUAGAAGAUUCUAUUCUAAUCAGAGGCUCUCCUAACACCUCAGUUCAAGGUAUUGGAGAGACAGAAACCCACAGGUUAUCCUCUGAAAGGCAAACACAGGGCCCAGACUCCCCACCCAGGAAAGAUCAAUAUUCACCUGUGAGCAUUAUGUGUGGCCCAUGACAUAAGACCCUUUAUGCAACAGUUUGAAAGCAAGAACAGCCAAGAUGAGCAGAAAGAGAGAUAUUGGUCCUGGCAUGAGCAUCUAAGACCUUAAAGCCCGUCCCCAGUAACACAGUUCUUCCAACAAAGCUAUACCUCGUAGUGUCAGCCAGCAUUGAAGUGUCAGUUAUGUGGGUGAACCAUGAUGAAGGGGAUCCUCCCAGCCCACUCAUCCUCUGAAUGAUAGCAGCCCAGGUACACCUGCGCCUGCAGGCUCUCCAGGCAGAGCCACCCGCUGCUGCUGCCCUGAACUUAUACCCAGCAAAAGAUAGGGUGUCCAUUAUGCAGUCUCCCCUGACACUGGUGUCAGCGGAACUGUUAGACAGCAGUAGACAAUUAUUCCAAGCAGGUCUCAUCUUGAUGUGGUCACUUCUCAGACAACACACGUGAGGUCUUCCCCCCACCACCACACCACGUAUGGACUUCUCUGCAAAGCCCCCACAGAAGCCACUUGCUCUGUAUGAAACCUUGUCUUCAAAUAUGUGUAUAGAGUUCCAAGUCCUCAGAAGUUCAGACAGAAGAACUGCUGUGAGUUCUAGGCCAGCCUAAGCUACAUAGUGAACUUCACAUCAGCCUGGGCUACAGAGUAAAAUCUGUCUCCAAAAACAAAACAAAUGCUAUCUACAGCUGUCUCUUCCCUGGACUCUUAGGAGUGUUGCCCCCUCUAGGAAGCUCACUAGAUCCAGUCAGGGAUCCUUCCUCCACAUGCCUACAACCGUACUCUCUUGUUGUCCCUUCUUGGAAGACUUGCCACAUAGCCUCAGAGGGCCAGAGCCAAACAUGUUUUUUCUCCUAAGUGUUAGCUACUAGGAGGCUUGGUUCCACUACAGAUGACUCGCAGAGCUUUGUGAUCAGAAGACUUCAACACUAACCUAAGUUUUUACUCUCUGUAGGAUUAGUCAGUGAUAGCCUGGCCCCAUUUUAUCUCCCUGAUCUUAAUGUUUUUUUGCCCUGACUACCUCAUCUGUUUCAUCACUUUAUGUGUGUGGCCUUCUGCAAAUUGCAACAAAUCCUUGGUGACAUGAGGCAGCAUUAGCUCAUCUUCCCUGGUCUGAGAUGUGGGCAGAGAUUCUGAGUGGAGGAAGCAGACCCACUUCUGAGUGGGCGGCACACUCUUGACAUUCCUUUGACUUCUUAUCUCCUGCCUCACCUCCCCAAGGUGACAACAUUCUGUCUGGCAGGUGGGAUGUGAGGAGGGAACGCCCUCAGGAAGUGUAGGCCUCACCACACCUCACCAGCACAGUCAUCUAUAGCUGUUGAACUGUCACACAUGGUCACCAUCCAGAUCCAAGGCUUUUCCUUAAGGAGCCCAGCAACCUAUGAAAGGAGUUUGCCUUCCCUGGAGCAAUGCUAGAUGCCCGGUUCAAGGCUCAACCACACCAAGGGCACAGACUCAACUGUCACUAACCCCACAGCAGGGAAGAAGCACACUGGCUUAGGAUCCCAGGCAAGAUAACGCCACCAACUACAGUGAUCUGGUGCAGAAGAGGAUUUUUUUCUUUCUGCUGGGAGGUUACAUUGUAGCAGCCAUCAUGGUAAGAAGUCAGUGUCUUUAAGAUGAGCCGGCUAAGGGCCUACCUCUAGCUCUCUGACCAGCAAACACUCUUUGAUUUCAGUUAGCUUCUCAUGUCAUGGGCAGCAGGGGAGAGCAUGUGAACAGAAAGGAUGCCAAUGGGCUGUUUUCUGUGGUACCCUUUUUCUUUUUUAUUAGAAAGCCAAGCUUCCGGUCUCAUGUGCAUGUGCAUAUACACACAAACACAGGCACACACACUCACAAGGACUCCGAAUGCUCCAGGUCCCCAUCCAUGGUGAAUAGAAUGUAGAUUGUGAGUCCCAUCUCAUAGGUAUGGAUUGAGCCAAUCCCUAGGCAAAGCCUCCAUGGUUUCAUUCCACCCCUUUGGCACAUGGAAGCCCUAAAGCUGAGUCAGGGUGGGUAAGCACCCAAGAUCCACCCAAAGAAAUGACUCCUGUGCUGGGUAGCACACAUCUUGGAAGGCUAAAGGGCAAUUGUAAGCUUGAGACCACCCUAUGCAACAGCAAACCUCUCCAAAAAACCAAAAAGCAAAAACAACUUCUGUCCCAGGGUUUACAGGAAUAACAUCAGAGUCUGUAAAUUUUUGGUAAAAAUUUAAAAAAUAAGUAAAUAAAAACCCUCAGGGAACCCACACCUUAGCCAGCAAUGGAGCCACACAGACUUCCCCAUUAGACUGGGAAGCUUAAUAUCUAAUACUGUCUUUAUUGUCCAAUCACUUUCUAGCUAUUUUAUUAAUCACACUGGAGAGUCCAAAUUUGUUACUCCUUAAUAAAUACAGUGUGUCUAGUUAACAAAAUGUUUACAAAGACAAGGACCAGUGGGUGGUAAUAAGGCUAAACUUUAUCCUACAGAGCUGAGAACCACCAGGCCACCACCCUCUGGGAGGGAGAAACGGGACAAAGUCACACUUUCUCAAGCCUCAAAUUGCUCUGAAACUUUUAGAAUGUUCUGUAGUUUACGGUUGCCUGUUGUAUCUUGAAUUAUAAAAGACAGUCUCUUUUAGAGUCUAUUUUUUUCUUAAUUCAAUCAAACCACUGUGAAUGAAGAGUCUGGCCCUUAAAGUCAGUAUGACACCUGAGUAUGACGUCAGCUUUUUCAUCUGCUAAGUGGGAGGAAGAGAGGGGGAGGCUUACACAACUGCCCGGUCACAUCAGCAUUUUCUCCUUACUCGAUUGUCUCAAAAGUCUAGUGAGAGAGGUAUUUUUCUCCUUUUAUGACAAAAUUAUUGUUUGGAGAGAGUAAAAGAUUCACCAAAAACAACUGACGUAAAACCAAUCCGACAGCUGGGUUCAGAACCAUGGACAGAGGCAGGGGUCUGGCGUCUUCUAGGUGAGCCAGAGAAGUAAAGAGCGUGGGAGUGGGUGCUGUCUCUCUGGGGAGAAAGGGGGCUGGAGUGAGGUCGACACAUUGCCAUAACUUAUUCUGCCUGCAUCACGCUGGGCUCUUCAGAAUUUCUUCUGUCCUCCCAUCCAGAGGAUAUGCAAUGCCAUUCCCAAACAGCCACCCAGCAUGUGUGUAAGAGUAGACGAAAGGAACAGUUAUCUAAAGCCCAUCGAAACCCACUCUUGGAAGCACCAGUAAUAGGCAAAACCCUGGAGCUCCAUGCCUAGCAGAUGGGUGGCUGUUUCUCAUGUGUAGCCUCCAGCAGGACUCCUUGCUUCUAAAAAUGGUGAUGCUUCCUUUCUCCUUGUGGCUGGCCACCUUCUGACUUGGCUUCUAUAGUUGCUGUGUUUAUCACAUCGAAAUAAAGGAGGAAACUCAGGAGCAAAUGCUCAGAUAGUUAAUCAAGCUAAGUUUGGAGAGGCACGUGUCACCUUUACUCAGACCAGAACUCAGCCCUCAGCAUAUAUAGACAUAUAGAGAAGAUAGUUAGGCAUAUAGAUAGACAGGCAGAUGAUAAAUGGGUGAGCAGGUGGGUACAUAGAUAAUAGGUAGGUAGAUGAUGGAUGGAUACGUGGGUGGGUGAAUGGACAGACAGACAGAUGGAUAUAUAUCAAAGCCUGUCUUCACAGUGCUGGGAUUUCUUGUUUAGCCAUUGGGCCAAGGCCUGCAGAUUUUUAAAAAUUAUUUUUUAUGUAUAUCUGUGCACCCGUGUGCAUCUCUGGUGCCUCCAGAGGUCAGAAGAGGGUGUCAUGUCACCUGGAAUUUCAUUUACAGAUGUUUAUGAGCCUCCUGUGGCUAUUGAGCAUCUUACCCAGGUACUCUGGAAGAGAAAUGCUCUUGACAGUGUCUCUGUCUAGCCCCUCUCAGGAAUAUUUUGAUAUGGAAAUUAUAGUUCCUUCCAUUGCAAGAAACAGAAAGGGCUCACCAGUCUUAAAUAAGAUAGUAAGUCACUGGCUCAUGUGUGUAAGACUGGAUCACAGCAUGACUCAGACUUCAACAUCUUCCCAGGGAUACCUGGACUGUCUCUCAUUCGUGUCCUCCAUGACUGCUCUCAGACAAGCUCCUCCACCACUCAAUAUGGCUGACAACUGCUCCUGGCAUAUGUUUUUAUCAGUGAUCCUAAGAGAUUUUUUUCCCCUCCAUAAAAAUUCCAUGGUAUAUCCUGUUGGUACUAAGUGUCCUAAUUAGGUCCCAUAUUCCAUGUGAUCAAAAAGAUGGUGCCCUUGUCCAGACCUAGGCCAUGGCAGCCCUGGAUAUGGGAGAGGCCUGUUCUGUAUAAUGCAGACAAGCUAAAACAGAUACAGGCAGCUCCCCUGGAAGCCACCAUUACUGCUGUCUCCCAAUGGGGAAGACUGGUGCCAGGCAAGCCUGGACUGACACCAUCACAUCAGCCUUCCUCACGAUGGCUGUGGGCGGGCUGCAGUCAUGUGAGGCUUGAAGCUAUCUGCAGAGCUGUGGAAGCAGCAGGUUGUCUCCCCACCCAUCCUCUCCGUGCUUCACCCAUUCACUGGUCAUGUGACAGCACAGCUCUCCAGGUUCCUGUUAGAAGGCAAGGAGUGUGUUUGGCCCCUUUGCAUAGACUCCACCAGAAGUCUUUCUCAAUAUCUUUACCACACCCUGCAAGGUUAGAGCAUGCCUCCAAACCCCUCAGAGACCUUAGGAGAUAACAACUCCUAAAGCCUUCCGGACCUCAAGAGCCAUGAACCAGGAAAUCAGUUCAUCAUUUUGUGGAUAUGUGAGUGUGAAGGCCUUCAUUAAACCACCCAAGGAGGCCCAUCCUGAAGUGGGUCAGCAGCACCAGGGGCAGCUUCUCUAGCAUCCAGAUAGAUGCUUCAAGUAUUUGAUGAUAGGAUUCCAUGCACCAGUUUGCAUUGUGGAGAAACAAGAAGCUUUGGGUCAACCUGACAUGAUAGCUUUGUCAACGUUUCUCAAAGAGGACUCCUUGUUACACGGAGUGCAGCAGUCAGUUUUUGUUCCUUUAAAGG